rnacentral:rRNA from 1 species
CCUACGGGGGGCUGCAGUAGGGAAUAUUGGUCAAUGGGCGAAAGCCUGAAUCAGCAACGCCGCGUGAGCGACGAAGGCCUUAGGGUUGUAAAGCUCUGUUGCAAGGGAAGAAAAAAAUGACGGUACUUUGCGAGAAAGGACCGGCCAACUUCGUGCCAGCAGCCGCGGUAAGACGAAGGGUCCUAGCGUUGUUCGGAAUCACUGGGCGUAAAGCGCAUGUAGGUGGCUCUGUAAGUCAGAUGUGAAAGCCCCGGGCUCAACCUGGGAAGUGCAUU